rnacentral:misc_RNA from 1 species
GUGAGUCAUCGAAUCUUUGAACGCACAUUGCGCCUUCUGGUAUUCCGGGAGGCAUGCCUGUUCGAGCGUCAUCAAACACAUUCUCCAGCACUUUUGCUUGGUAUUGGAGGAAGAUGUCUUGCAUCUCCUCUCAAAUUCCUCAGCGGAAACUACUACAGUCUCAGGUGUCAUAAGAUUACCUUUCGCUUGACAACUGUCGGUAGGUUCUUGCUGUGAAGAGCCCCCCAGCUAUUCUUUUGAGUUUGACCUCGAAUCAGGUAGGGAUACCCGCUGAACUUAAGCAUAUCAAUAAGCGGAGGA